GAGUGUCGGGGCGACUCCCGCGAGUUGGUGUGUAAAUGUGUGCAGUGAGCGGGCCGAGGCGAGAGGAAGCGAGAGCGCCCGAGUUUGCAAAGAGCUGCUUUGUGUUUGGUAUUUUGAGAAAAUGGCCGAAUGCCUAUUUCAGUUAGGAAUGCCGCCGCCGAGGCAGGCGCUGGUGGCAGCAGCACGGAGGAAUUCGUGCAGCACGUUGGGCUUUCGGGCUGUGCCUGGACGGUCUUCCUAACAAUCGUUAAAAUUCCAUUUGGGGUGGCAGUUAGGGGUUAGGGAGCAAUUAGAAAGUCGAUGUUGGGCCAAAUUACCGAGUAGCUUGGGCUGUUCAGCCCCGGGACGGCCUUCGCCCUCUGUUUUGUGUGAUGGCAUUUGCUUCCAACUUUUGUUGAAUACAGUUAUGGCCACCCAGGUAAUGGGGCAGUCUUCUGGAGGAGGAGGGCUGUUUAC
rnacentral:sRNA from 1 species